AACGUUGGUGGCGUGGAUUAGGCAUGCAAGUCGUACGGUGGUAGCAAUACCAUAGUGGCGAAAGGGAUAGGAAUACAUUGAUUAUCUGCCCAAAGGUCGUGGAUAGCGGCGGGAAACUGCCGGUAAUACACGAUAAUUUUUCCGAAACAAAGGUGUGAUUCCGCCUUUGGAUGAGUCAAUGUCCUAUUAGUUAGUUGGCGGUGUAAUGGACCACCAAGGCUAUGAUGGGUACGAGGCGUGAGAGCGUGUCCUCGAUCACUGGAACUGAGACACUGUCCAGACACCUACGGGUGGCUGCAGUCGAGAAUCUUCGGCAAUGGACGAAAGUCUGACCGAGCGACGCCGCGUGUGUGAUGAAGGUCUUCGGAUUGUAAAACACUGUAAGUUGGGAGGAAGUGUAUGGGAGUCAUCUCCUAUACUUGACCUAUCUUCAAAGUAAGGACGGGCUAAGUUCGUGCCAGCAGCCGCGGUAAGACGAACUGUCCAAACGUUAUUCGGAAUCACUGGGCUUAAAGGGUGCGUAGGCUGUUUGGUAAGUGGGGUGUGAAAGCCCACAGCUCAACUGUGGAAUUGCGCCUCAAACUGCUAGACUAGAGGGAUGUAGGGGUAACCGGAACUUGCGGUGGAGCGGUGAAAUGCUUUGAUAUCGCAAGGAACACCGAUGGCGUAGGCAGGUUACUGGGCAUUUUCUGACGCUGAGGCACGAAAGUCAGGGUAGCGAACGGAAUUAGAUACUCCGGUAGUCCUGACUGUAAACGCUGAGCACUUGGUCGAGGGGUACUCCAUAGCCCCUUGGUCGUAGAG
rnacentral:rRNA from 1 species